rnacentral:rRNA from 1 species
ACUUUACGGAAGGACGCAUUUAUUAGGACAAAACCAAUCGGGCUUGCCCGCUAUUUGGUGAAUCUGAAUAACUAUGCCGAUCGCACAGUCCUCGAACUGGCGACGUAUCUUUCAAAUGUCUGCCUUAUCAACUUUCGAUGGUAGUUUACACGGCUACCAUGGUUUUAACGGGUAACGGAGAAUUAGGGUUCGACUCCGGAGAGGGAGCCUGAGAAACGGCUACCACAUCC